CUCAGUUACAUGACACUCGAAAGUCUAAAGUAAAAAAAAUUGUUUAGGAAAACGGAAAGAUUUUAUACCAAUUAUAAACAUUAUCGUUAACUUAGUCAUUUACUACUAAUAAAAUCUUACUUUAAAAAAAAUAUGUUUACAUAAUGUUGAUAAAGUAUAUAGGAAGGUAUAAAUUAAAAAGUAUAUAGGAAGCUAAUUACACAUGACACAUCUAACAAGAGUACCAUAACCCCUUGGUGGAGCUGAGCCUAGCUACAUUAGGAGUACAGAGACACUCGUAAUUCAUCAAACACCUAAAUUGAAUGUGUGGCCUUACAUGCUUUAAUUGUGCAAGGACCAGACCAGCAGAUAGGAAUUAUCAUAGAUUGAGAAUUAUGUGUUCAACACAUCCACAUAUAUUGACAUACCCUUUUAGUUUUAGCAAAUUUCUCAAGAAAAAACUAUGAUAUGUUCAUGAUACUAUUAAAGACAUAUAUGUUAAGAGAACAUCAUAUAUGCUUUAAUCAACUGUUUUUCAUUAAAAGAACAAAUUUAAAACUUAGAAAUAUUGUUUUCAUUUUUC
rnacentral:lncRNA from 1 species